rnacentral:rRNA from 1 species
AGACUUUAGAUAUGAUCCAGAGUACCACGGGACACGUGAAACCCUGUGGGAAGCAGGAGGGACCACCCUCCAAGGCUAAAUACUACCUAGUGACCGAUAGCGUAUAGUACCGUGAGGGAAAGGUGAAAAGAACCCCGGGAGGGGAGUGAAAUAGAACCUGAAACCCUGCACUUACAAGCUGUGGAAGCACAUUUCUUGUGUGACCGCGUACUUUUUGUAGAACGGGCCAACGAGUUACGUUAAGUAGCAAGGUUAAGCACUUAAGGUGGGAGCCGUAGCGAAAGCGAGUUUUAACUGAGCGUUCAGUUACUUGACGUAGACCCGAAACCGGGCGACCUACCCAUGAGCAGGAUGAAGCGAAAGUAAAAUUUCGUGGAGGUCCGAACCCACGAGCGUUGAAAAGCUCGGGGAUGACUUGUGGGUAGCGGUGAAAUUCCAAUCGAGCCCGGAGAUAGCUGGUUCUCCCCGAAAUAGCUUUAGGGCUAGCCUCAAGGUGAGAGAUACGGAGGUAGAGCACUGAAUGUCCUAGGGGGUAUUGCACCUACCGAAGACUAUCAAACUCCGAAUGCCGUCAUCUUAUACUUGGGAGUCAGACUGUGGGUGAUAAGAUUCAUAGUCGAAAGGGCAACAGCCCAGAUCGUCAGCUAAGGUCCCUAAAUGUAAGUUAAGUGGUAAAGGAUGUGGGAUUGCACAGACAACCAGGAUGUUGGCUUAGAAGCAGCCACUCAUUCAAAGAGUGCGUAAUAGCUCACUGGUCGAGUGAUCCUGCGCCGAAGAUUUCCGGGGCUAAAACUUACUACCGAAGCUACGGCAUCAGUAAUGAUGGGUAGGGGAGCUUCCCAUACGGGUUGAAGCAUGACCGUAAGGACAUGUGGACAGUAUGGGAGUGAGAAUGUUGGCAUGAGUAGCGAGAUGUGGGUGAGAAUCCCACAGGCCGUAAACCCAAGGUUUCCAGGGGAAGGUUCGUCCGCCCUGGGUUAGUCGGGACCUAAGCUGAGGCCGAAAGGCGUAGGUGAUGGACAACAGGUUGAUAUUCCUGUACUACCGAUAACCGUUUGAGAGAAGGGAUGACACAGUAGGAUAAGCUAAGCACACUGUUGGUUAUGUGUGCCCAAGCAUUGAGGCAGUCAAAGUAGGCAAAUCCGCUUUGAUAAUGCUGGGAUGUGAUGGGGAGCGAAAUUUAGUAGCGAAGUAGCUGAUUUCACACUGUCAAGAAAAGUCUCUAUCGAGGUUAAAGGUACCCGUACCGCAAACCGACACAGGUGGGUGAGGAGAGUAUCCUAAGGCCAGCGAGAGAACUGUUGUUAAGGAACUCGGCAAAAUGACCCCGUAACUUAGGGAUAAGGGGUGCCACCAUCAGGUGGCCGCAGAGAAUAGGCCCAAGCGACUGUUUACCAAAAACAUAGGUUUCUGCUAAGUCGCAAGACGAUGUAUAGGAGCUGACGCCUGCCCGGUGCUGGAAGGUUAAGGGGAUCUGUUAGAGCAAUCGAAGCAGUGAACUUAAGCCCCAGUAAACGGCGGCCGUAACUAUAACGGUCCUAAGGUAGCGAAAUUCCUUGUCGGGUAAGUUCCGACCCGCACGAAAGGCGUAACGAUUUGGGCACUGUCUCAACAACAGACUCGGUGAAAUUGUAAUUCCGGUGAAGAUGCCGGAUACCUGCGACAGGACGGAAAGACCCCAUGGAGCUUUACUGUAGCUUGACAUUGGGUCUUGGUACUACAUGUACAGGAUAGGUGGGAGGCUUUGAAACCAGGACGCCAGUUUUGGCGGAGCCAUCCUUGGGAUACCACCCUUGUAGUACUGGGACUCUAACCAUAGGCCAUGAAUCUGGUCUUGGGACACUGUCAGGUGGGCAGUUUGACUGGGGCGGUCGCCUCCCAAAAGGUAACGGAGGCGCUCAAAGGUUCUCUCAGUACGGUCGGAAAUCGUACGUAGAGUGUAAAGGCAAAAGAGAGCUUGAUUGCAAGACAUACAGGUCGAGCAAGGAUGAAAAUCGGACUUAGUGAUCCGGUGGUUCUGCGUGGAAGGGCCAUCGCUCAACGGAUAAAAGCUACCCUGGGGAUAACAGGCUUAUCUCCCCCAAGAGUCCACAUCGACGGGGAGGUUUGGCACCUCGAUGUCGGCUCAUCACAUCCUGGGGCUGUAGUAGGUCCCAAGGGUUGGGCUGUUCGCCCAUUAAAGUGGUACGCGAGCUGGGUUCAGAACGUCGUGAGACAGUUCGGUCCCUAUCCGUCGCAGGCGUAGGAAAUUUGAGAAGACCUGUCCUUAGUACGAGAGGACCGGGAUGGACGUACCUCUGGUGUACCAGUUGUCCUGCCAAGGGCAUGGCUGGGUAGCUAUGUACGGAAUGGAUAAGCGCUGAAAGCAUCUAAGCGCGAAGCCAACUUCAAGAUAAGAUUUCCCACCGUAAGGGUAAGACCCCAGAAAGACUAUCUGGUUGAUAGGUCGAAGGUGUAAGUGCAGCAAUGUAUUUAGCUUAUCGAUACUAAUAGGUCGAGGACUUGACCAA